rnacentral:rRNA from 1 species
GAAUUGUUCGCAAUGGGCGCAAGCCUGACGACGCAACGCCGCGUGGAGGAUGAAGAUCUUCGGGUCGUAAACUCCUUUCGAUCGAGACGAAUGCCCUUGUGGUGAACAAUCCUGAGGGGUGACGGUACCGAGAGAAGAAGCCCCGGCUAACUCCGUGCCAGCAGCCGCGGUAAUACGGGGGGGGCAAGCGUUGUUCGGAAUUACUGGGCGUAAAGGGCUCGUAGGUGGCCAACUAAGUCAGACGUGAAAUCCCUCGGCUUAACCGGGGAACUGCAUCUGAUACUGGAUGGCUUGAGUUUGGGAGAGGGACGCGGAAUUCCAGGUGUAGCGGUGAAAUGCGUAGAUAUCUGGAGGAACACCGGUGGCGAAGGCGGCGUCCUGGACCAACACUGACACUGAGGAGCGAAAGCCAGGGGAGCAAA